AAACUUUGUAACUGUUGAAGUUCCACAUUGAAAAGGAAUUAACUCAUAUUCCAAUGUUGAAAGGUUUGUUGUUGUUUACGAUUUAAUUUAAUUUGAAAUUUGUGAACAUGCGGAUAUUUAUUUUGAAAGAGUACCUGGCGUUGUCAGGAAUUGUGGGUAACCGCGCUCUCAGAGCAAGGUCAGAGCUACCAUGACAAGCUACACAACAGUUCCAGAGGCGCACACGUUUUCACGGUGUCCAUACUUUUAUGUGUCCACGGUGUCUGUAUGAGGAAUAUAUGUCGUCGAAGGAAUGGAAUUAAAUUAAGAAGUGGA